GGCACCGUGGCCGAGGAAUUAGGCAAAGGUCUGCAAAACCUUUCUACGCGGGUGUAAAUCCCGUCGGUGCCUCCA
rnacentral:tRNA from 1 species